rnacentral:lncRNA from 1 species
CAAAAAGAUGCUUUUGUUUUACCUUUUCUGUUUUGUUUGCGUAAACGUCCAUUGAUUUACUUUGAAUUGAUUUAUGCACUUGAAUAUGAUCAAUGUUUACCAAAAAUGCAUGCCUAGAAUAGUAAUAGCAAUUACUACACGACUUCAGGAUCGAGGAGAAGGUCUAAUCACGCUUCCCAAUGAAUCUGUUGCUAAUUCGAUUCCCCGGCUAAG